GGUCACUGCCAAGAAAGGGACAGGGCAAGCACUGGGAGAGAAAGUGGUUAGACAGGUACACAAAUGAAGAGAUGGAUGCCGGCGACUGACGUUAGGUGCAGCCUGCAGGCUGGGGACAGGUGUCUAACAGCUCCUAGCCACCUUCAGGGCCACUGUCUACCUACACUGCAAGCCCAGGCCACAUCGGACCCAGAAAAGCCAGAGCCCACACUGCCUAUCCCAAAUUGGACCCUGAGGGGCAAAGCAGAAGGGACAGGAGGGGCAAAAUGGUCCCCAAUCAGCAUAUUCUGGGAGCUCAGGAGCUCUGGCCUGUGCAGUUCAGUGGAAAUGCUAAUUCUUGCCCACAGCUGGACACAGCCUGAUCACAGAGCCACAGAAGGAGAAAUUUCAUGGGCUGUCGCAUAUGAGUCCACACAAAUCCAUCUGUUCAAGACCAAACAGGAGCAUCAUUUGGAGAUGGAGUCCUCACAGGGGUACUUAAGACCAAACAAAGCCUUAAGUGUGGACCGGAGCCAUCAGGACUGCGUCUUCAUGACACACAGAGGAAAGACCAGUGAGGAUUCAUUUUCGGGUAAAAGAGAGCUGCCUCAGGAGACCCAGCCCUGCCACAGCUUGGCCUUGGACUUCCAGCUUCAGGAUCCAGGAGACAGUGAACCUGGUAGGAGGAGCCUUCAACCUCAGGACAUUGGCACGAGACUCCCGUGGUGUUAGUCUCUGAAGAGUUCUUUCCCUCCCUCCCUUUCCGGUGGAUUGGCUGGAGGCAGGUGGGGUCUGUAGCCUGCAUUGCAAAGGCUUCUGAAUUCCCACGGGUUCCUUCAUGAGUGGGUGGGUAGGCUGGGAUUACCGGCCCACCCACUACCUGGCUUUGUGGCCAUUUGUUCUGCUGUGCUAGCAAACUCGUUUGACAUCUCAGUGAGGUAAUAGCGAGUUCCCAGAGCCUGGCCCCUAACAAUGCUGGGACAUCUGUCCCCUCACUUUCUGUGGAAUUUGCAUUGCUUUCUGCCUAAUGUGUUCUGCCCCAGGAGGCCCUGCAAGUUCCUGGCUGACAGUGAUACCAACGGCAGCGCAGACCAGGCAAGAGCAUAUAACUAAAAUUGGUGGCUUUGUAUGUGAGGCAGCCCAUCACUGGUCCCUCGAGGCAUCCACUGGGGCAAGCCAUCUGAUUGUCCCCUUGGGAGGCAGAGUUCCUUAGAAGUCAUGACUGCCCCAUCUGGAGCCUGUAUGCCGCUGGACCCCAGCUGAAGUGACUUAUGGUACACAGGAGAAAAUGUGAGACCACGCUGGAAGGGAGUCUUCUUGGCAACCACUACGUAACUUCUCAAUAACUUGCAUGUUGUUUCAAUUUAGACCUCAACAGAUCAGACUUCCUCAGGUGGGUUCCCCAGGAAACCCCAGUGGUCACGCUGGAGGAGAUGCAGCUGCUGAUGGGAUUUUCCCAGCAUUCUCUGCUUGGCUGGGCAGAGAUACAGAUAGAUAGUGCUACUUCUGGGGUUAAAAGGGCACCCCACACAUAGCCCCAUCUCGAGGCCUCUGGAGGCAGAGAAGAACUACUUUCAGCAACCAGGAAUGGCUCAGUUACUGAUCUGAGUUCUAGGACAUUCCACAACUCUAGCAAUGAUAAAAUGCCCUUCAUUCUAGCUAACAUUAUUUCCACCUUCAGGUGGGGUCAAUGAGCUCAGCUCUGGAAAAGAAACAGACAAACAAGAGUGUUUUGACAGUGUUGGCACCAAGUCCUGUGAUAAGGGACUUGGUGGACAAAGGGGUGGACUGUCUGUCUCUGCCUCACUUGUACACUCGGUCUUUGGGUCGGCCCUUCCUUCUGGAUUUUGCUGUCUGGAUGUGUCAACAGGGUAGAGGGGAGACCACUACUCAUCCCAGCUCCCCGCCCAUGCCCUUGGGGUUCAAGCAGGCCACAAACCAGUAGGCCAGGUGUACGGCCCUGCAACCCCCACUUUGCUCUGCCCUGCCUGCUUUGUCCACAGAGAACUUGGCUUAGCAUGGGUUCCCCCUACCCAAGGGCAGGCCUGAGCCUGGAUAUGAAUAAAGGAAGUUGUUUUUAGA